UUAGAUAUACUUGUUACACACGUUGUCCAUAUGGUAAUUAUCUAGUAAUUUAUCUGGUUGCUGGUUGGAUAAUCGAUCAUACACGUGUUUGCUUCCAAACUCUAAGCGUUUUCCUAAAAUGUCAUAUUGUUAUGUAUUUCAUUUAUUUGUUCCUUACAACUAUGAUUAUGGAACACCAUUACCAAAUUAAUCAAACAGAUUAAUUGUCGAAAUAGUCAAUUGACCUUUCCCUUUAUUAUUAGUUUCUCCAGGUCAUCAAUAACUGCUAUAACACGCAUUUCCAGGUGCUCGUUCUUCCAAGGUUGAAGCUUACAACAAUCAUUUCAUUUUUCUAUGGCCACUACGGAGUCCACCAGAUUAUACACACGUUGUUCAUCUUCAAGGUUUCUAAAACUAUGCAACAGGCUGCCACCUGAGAAAUUGGACGUGGUUCGAGACCUUCAGUUUGGAGGUCUUCUUCACUUAAAUUGCAAGGAGAUACGACAUAAUAUCUGUAUAUGGCUGAUUGCCCAUUUUAAUGUUGGCUACAAAUGCAUUGACAUUACAUCCGACAGAAGGUAUGAUCUGACAGCUGCUGAUGUCGGCCUUGUCUUUGGCCUCCCGACGACUGGACGAAUUCUACAUAUUGCUACUACCCCGUCUGAUCAUCCGUUCGGUACCCUCAACACAUGUGAGGAGAGACUCCUCAACUUACCUAUUGGGGAGGAGUUCCGUAGAUGAUUCAUUUACUACGCUUGUGCGACGCUAUUAGCCCCCACCUAAAGGAUUGAUGGAUGUCGAAACUUGUGGCAUACCAUCCAUGAAGAUGGUUUCAGAAAUGAUGUUAAUUGGGGCCAAUUUGUUGUUGACCAGCUUGUGGAGGGUAUAAGACAAUUUAAGCAAGGGAACAGCGUUUGGGUUCAUGGUUGCAUUCUUUUCCUCCAGCUCCAUUACGUAAUGAAGUUCAAAAUUCCUUCCGUUGAUGUUCCGAUGACAGCGCCCCUACUCUCAGCAUGGUCAGAUGAGUUGAUAAAGGAGCGCUUAUCUGCUGAGAUAAGUGAGUUUGGGAGUUUUGGACAUGGCCAGGCGUUUGAUGAAUCGUCACCUCCCCGUACACAUGUCGAGGAUGACAGUGGACCGACA